rnacentral:rRNA from 1 species
GACGAACGCUGGCGGCGUGCUUAACACAUGCAAGUCGAACGGUAAGGCCCUUCGGGGUACACGAGUGGCGAGCGGGUGAGUAACACGUGGGUGAUCUGCCCUGCACUUCGGGAUAAGCCUGGGAAACUGGGUCUAAUACCGGAUAGGACUCCGGACUGCAUGGUCUGGGGUGGAAAGCUUUUGCGGUGUGGGAUGGGCCCGCGGCCUAUCAGUUUGUUGGUGGGGUGAUGGCCUACCAAGGCGACGACGGGUAGCCGGCCUGAGAGGGUGACCGGCCACACUGGGAAUGAGAUACGGCCCAGACUCCUACGGGAGGCAGCAGUGGGGAAUAUUGCACAAUGGGCGCAAGCCUGAUGCAGCGACGCCGCGUGAGGGAUGACGGCCUUCGGGUUGUAAACCUCUUUCAGCAUCGACGAAGCGAAAGUGACGGUAGGUGCAGAAGAAGGACCGGCCAACUACGUGCCAGCCGCCGCAGUAA